UUUUGCUCUUGGUAUUAGAAUAGGAGUUUUUCUUUCCUUCUGUUUACUUUUCUUUAUAUAGUUGCAUGUAACCAUCGAUUACAACAUAGAGAAUUUCUUCUUGCUUCUCCUAUUCUUCCUCCAGAUUUCCUUUCUCUCAGGGUUGAAAGAGAUUUGAUCAAUCUCCCUCAUCCCUAGCCCUUUCAUCUCCAGAUUCAGGGCGGGAGUACAUGUGACAUAGGCAACCAUACAUGUAAAAUCUGUACCCAAUUUCCUUUCUAUCAGGGCUGAGAGAGAUUUGAUCUGACAUAGGCGACCCUACCUGUAAAAUCCAUACCCAAAACCUUGUUGGAAUAGAGAGAUCCAGAUCAAAACCCCUUGCUGGUUUCCUGUUUACCACCAAGGUCUGUUUGCAGAAAAUAUAU